AUGUGCCAUGCGUACCUUUCGGUUCCGCGCGCGCCGUCCACCCCCAUCUGACGACUGCUCGCUACGUUCUGUUGUCC
rnacentral:sRNA from 1 species